CAGGAUGAACGCUAGCUACAGGCUAACACAUGCAAGUCGAGGGGCGGCAUGGAGUAGCAAUACUCAGAUGGCGACCGGCGCACGGGUGAGUAACACGUAUCCAAACCUGCCGCUUACUCGGGGAUAGCCUUUCGAAAGAAGGAUUAAUACCCGAUGGUAUAAAGAGUUCGCAUGUUCUCUUUAUUAAAGAAUUUCGGUAAGCGAUGGGGAUGCGUUCCAUUAGAUUGUUGGCGGGGUAACGGCCCACCAAGUCUACGAUGGAUAGGGGUUCUGAGAGGAAGGUCCCCCACAUUGGAACUGAGACACGGUCCAAACUCCUACGGGAGGCAGCAGUGAGGAAUAUUGGUCAAUGGACGAGAGUCUGAACCAGCCAAAAGUAGCGUGAAGGAUGACUGCCCUAUGGGUUAGUAAACUUCUUUUAUAAGGGAAUAAAGUGAGGGACGUGUUCCCUUUUUGUAUGUACCUUAUGAAUAAGGAUCGGCUAACUCCGUGCCAGCCGCCGC
rnacentral:rRNA from 1 species